CCUACGGGAGGCUGCAGUGAGGAAUAUUGGUCAAUGGCCGCAAGUCUGAACCAGCCAAGCCGCGUGAAGGACGAAGGUCCCAAGCAUUGUAAACUUCUUUUGUCAGGGGACAAACUCCGACUCGAGAGCCUGACCGCAGGUACUUUACGAACAAGCAUCGGUAAACUCCGUGCCAGCAGCCGCGGUAAUACGGAGGGGGCGAGCGUUACCCGGAUUUAUUGGGGUAAAAGGGUGGGAAGGCGGGCCGUUAAGUAGGAGGGAAAAGCCCGGGGCCCACCCCCGGCGCGCCGUUGAAACUGGCUGGCUGGAGAGGAGGAGAGGUAGGCGGAAUGCGCGGUGUAGCGGUGAAAUGCGUAGAUAUUGCGAAGAACUCCGAUUGCGAAGGCAGCCUGCCGGAGGGGAUCUGACGCUGAGGCACGAAAGCGUGGGGAGCGAACAGGAUUAGAUACCCGAGUAGUC
rnacentral:rRNA from 1 species